CGCCAGUGUUUUGAUCCUCGCUGGCAUUCCGGAUGUUUUGGAGUGUUUUGUCUAUCCGGGAAUCUGAUUGGCUAAAAUCACUUCCGGGUUUCAGACAGACUGCAGUUAAGGUGGUACAGCAACAAGUGGAACAUGUACUUGAGAGUUGUCCUGGUUCAAUGCCCACUCCAGUGUGUGUCCAGCGGUCAGACAGCGGUCCGGCGAUCUGCACUCUGUUAGUCUGUGUUGUCCACCUGUGGUGAGGAAGUUUGUGUCCACAGUGUUAGCUGGAGACGGCUAGCCCUGUCCUGGACACACAGCAGGAGAGGAGAAAGACAAAAGAUUGGAUCAACCUUCAAAGGACCGUGUGACUGUGCCAUGGCAGACGCCACCAAGACUUCACAUGAAGGCGUCAAGAACACAAUCUCCACACAUUCAUCAUGUCCACAAUAACACU